GUGGGGAAUAUUGGACAAUGGGCGCAAGCCUGAUCCAGCCAUACCGCGUGGGUGAAGAAGGCCUUCGGGUUGUAAAGCCCUUUUGUUGGGAAAGAAAUCCUGUCGGUUAAUACCUGGCGGGGAUGACGGUACCCAAAGAAUAAGCACCGGCUAACUUCGUGCCAGCAGCCGCGGUAAUACGAAGGGUGCAAGCGUUACUCGGAAUUACUGGGCGUAAAGCGUGCGUAGGUGGUGGUUUAAGUCCGUUGUGAAAGCCCUGGGCUCAACCUGGGAAUUGAAGUGGAUACUGGAUCACUAGAGUGUGGUAGAGGGAUGCGGAAUUUCUGGUGUAGCAGUGAAAUGCGUAGAGAUCAGAAGGAACAUCCGUGGCGAAGGCGGCAUCCUGGGCCAACACUGACACUGAGGCACGAAAGCGUGGGGAGCAAACAGGAUUAGAUACCCCUGUAGUCC
rnacentral:rRNA from 1 species